CAAUAGCGUAUAUUAAAGUUGUUGCAGUUAAAAAGCUCGUAGUUGGAUUUCUGAGAGGAUGCCAAUGUCCUUCUGUGUAAGUGUGCAGCGGCGUCUUUUCAUCCUUCUGUUAACACCUCUUGGCAUUCGUUUGCUGGCGGUGGGCUCAGAUAUUUUACCUUGAGAAAAUUAGAGUGUUUCAGGCAGGCUAGGCCGGAAUACAUUAGCAUGGAAUAAUGGAAUAGGACUACGGUCUCUUUGUUGGUUUGAGGGACUGCAGUAAUGAUUAAUAGGGAUAGUUGGGGGCAUUAGUAUUUAAUUGUCAGAGGUGGAAUUCUCGGAUUUGUUAAAGACUAACUUAUGCGAAAGCAUUUGCCAAGGAUGUUUUCAUUAA
rnacentral:rRNA from 1 species